UAUUCUGUGCCCCGAGGGUUCUUGUCCACUGAAUAGAAUACAGCUGCCCCCCCCCCCCCCCCAAUAAUGAAGAAUUCGGAAUGAAAACAGGUUUUCAGGCAUUGUUGUUACCCUUGCUCUAUGUAGUGCUGCUCCUGUCGACGUUAGGAAGUACAUUCAUAUUCGAGCAGUUCUUGUGACUCAUGAACCUCAACAAGUAGUUAUAGCGAUCUGGUCUGAACGUGCAUUUUGAUAAACUACACUGUAAGUCAUAUGAUAAUUAAGAAGUAAUAGUGGAGACAAGUGCAGAGAAUGGCAUCAUCUUAAUUAUUACACUAAGUUUACGGGCUUGCAGCAUAGCAGCAGCCUCUCCGGAUAUCACCGGAGAGUCACUGGUGUAUUCUGCAUAGCGAAGCCAUUAUUAACGACAUAUACUAGGCCCUUGUACUGGGAUUUUAAUAGUGGUGACCACAAAAUUUGGAAAAGGCGCCGGCAGAGCCAUUUAAAACGGGCAAAACCUCUUUAAUCAUGGUUCCAAAAGAUAUUUCCAACGCUUAUGACGCUCUUCUACUGGGAUUGCAGCAGAAGCGACCACAAAAUUCGGAAAAGGCAGCAACAGAGUCCUUUAAAACGUACGAAACCCCAAAUGGUACCAAAGGCAUAUUCAUGACGGCUUAUGCUAUGCAUUUCUACCGGGAUUGCGCAAGAGGGGACCGCAAAAUUCGGAUACGGCGGCAUCAAGCCUUUUAAAACGGGCGACACUCCCUGUAUCAUGGAGCGAAAGAAAGAAAGUUAUCAGUGGCUUGUGCAAUGCUAUUCUGCUGGAGUUAUAACACAGGCGAUCGCCAAAUUCGGCAAACGUGGCAGCAGAGCCCUUUUAAACGAGCAAAACCCCUUGUGUCAUGCAGCCAAAGACUUAUUAUCAACAACUUAUACUAUGCCAUUCUAUACUGAGAUCAUAACACAGGCGACCGCAAAUAUAGGAAAAGGAUGCAGCAUAGCCCUUCAAAACGGGCGAGACCCUGCUGCCGAUGACAUGUCAUCAAUGGCUUGUGCUAUGCCCUUCUACUGGGACUGUAAUAGAGGCUACCGCAAAAUACGGAAAAUGCGGCAGCAGAGCCCUUUAAAACAGUCGAUACCCCUUGCAUCGUAGUUCCAAAGUCAUAUACGUAUUCGCAACGGCUUAUGCUAUUGCCAUUCUACUGGAAUUAUAACGGAUGCGGCCGCAAACUCCAUAAAAGCACUUUAAAACGGACCUGUUUAACUGCGGUGGCAGACAUUUUACGCACAUAUAAAGACGCGACGGCUUAUGUUAUGCCCCUCUCCUGUGAUUGCAAACCACCGCAAAAUUUGGAAAAGGCGGCAGCAGGGCUCUUUACAAUGACUCAAAUGAUUUGUAUCACGGUGCCAAAAAGAUACUAUGAAUGGCUUGUACUGGGAUUGUAACAGAGGCUACCGUAACGUUCGGCAGCAGAUCGAGCCCUUUAAAACGUGCGAAGCCCCUCCCAGUCAACACACAUUGUUGGUAGAAUGCAGAAUUAACGUUGAAUAUUGCUGAACAAUGUAGAACGCAAAAUGCGAACAUUGAUUCCGCGCUGACAUUACGUAGUCAAUUCAGCAUGUCAAAUCUUUUACGUGAAUAUAACGUGGAUUUGUUGCACACAAAUUAACAGUAGAUUGUCAUACGUGAAAACAGCGUCGAUAACUGUAAUGGAAAGAAGGACAGACGUCGAAUAUACAACGUUGCUUUUGCGAAAAUUUUGCCUUAUGCCUUUAGCAAAAAGCAUGCUCAAACAAUGAAUCUGCCGCGCAGGCCGUUCAACAACGCUUUACCAUGGUUGCUUUUGCGUGACUCUGCUACUGUUAACAUUGCAAAAGAUCGUACAAAGAAAAUAUUAAUAUGGUAGUAAUUCGAUACGUCGGAAACCUACAGCUGAUGGACAGCCAGUAAGGGCUCACCCAGUAAUCCAGACACGGGUACUUUAUCAAAUUCAGAGCAUCUUCAAAACCCUACCUAUAAUCAAAUUAUACUCAUUUCAAAGAACAAUAAAAGUUUGGGCGUUUGAGCCCCCUUUUCUCCGCCAUCCGCCUUCACCCCAUCUUCUUAACUCUGCCCCCCUGCCAGCUGAGGCCCCCACACCACCGUACCACCGCCAAGGCGUCCGGCCAGCCGGUCACAGGAGAAAUCUGCGCAGAAGGCGUAUUUUUUCGUCAGGCGCAGAAGAGAGAAUCACGUGAUGCCCUCGCCCGUUGCGCCGUUGCAGCGGUUAAUUUCGAACUGUUCGAGACGCCGCUGGAGCAUGGAGCUGAGGAACAUGUCGGCGUCUCGAUAGGAGUGCGGUAAUUUCCAGCGCGAACAGCUCAAGCACAGGUUGAGUGAGUAUCCCUCGUGGGUAACGGAUGCACCACAUGCGGCCACAGUCUAUACAGGUAAACGGGCGUGGUGUCUUUGUUUAUUAGCGUUCGCUUGAGACUCUAUUGUUCUUCCAGUCGAUUCAGCCCACCGAGUUCAUGAAAAUGAAAACGAUCCUGGCUAUGCGUCUAGGCACAUUAGCGUGGUGUGCUACUUUUAGUUUGUGGUCGAUUCACUGCAGUUUUCAUCUUACAUAUUCUUUUAGGACUCGGAAAGUGUCUCUUUGAGCAAGCUUGGAAUCAUUUACCGUCUUUAUGCGCUACAGUGUUCUUUGACGGCGGAACUUCUACUUGGCCGGUGAGUUCCAGCGAUUGGAAAACACGAAGGAACAAUGAAAUCGGUAGCCGUUCAUAAGGCAACAAGGGACCAGAGGCUACAGUUGCGUCGCUAUAGCAGGCAGGACCCGAACUAAUUAUACUGAUGCAACAUCCAAGUGCCUACGUGUACAGAUAAGCAGAGGUCCCAGCUCAACCACAAGCCAAUAGUGCAGAAGAUAAACACGAGGGCUAUAGCAAAUUCAAGUCAACGGUUAUGCCAUAUGUACUUUGGGUAAUAAAGUGAUUCUAUUCCCCAC